UCCCAAUGUUGCAGGAGUGCGAGGCUGCCAAGUCAGAACCGGCGAUCCUCUCCGGCUAGCCCGCCCCUGUGGUCUGGACCUCCGCUCCUGCGCCGAGUGCCUGGCCCGCCCAUCCGCCGACAGGCCCCGCCCCAGGUUUCCCUGUGUACUCGCCUGCCCACUUGCCUACGCGGUGCCCGACUUGCGCUGGUGAUAGGAGACCGCCGAGUUCAUGUUGCCGAAGAUGAAACUCCAAUACUUUGGUCACCUGAUGCGAAGAACUGACUCACUGGAAAAGACCCUGAUGCUGAGAAAGAUUGAAGGCGAUCGGGCACCCAGGCCAGUCAUCUGAGUUGGGAGGAGACAAGGGACAAAAGAAAAUCCUUGUUCCGGCCACUGGGUCAGCAUCAUGGACCAUGGACGCCCCUAGAUUCCAGCCCAGGGCCACAGCCAUCAAAUCCAAAGCCUGCAUCCUCCCCGUGGUCCUCACCAGUUUCAUCGUAACUGUCUUCCUGGGCUGAGUCCUUUCCAGGACCAGGUACUGAGGGCAGAAUUCAGAGAGCCAAGAAGUCAGAGCCAGGAGUUCUGAGCCUGCCUUCCUGUGAUGGUGACACAGUAGCUUCGUUGUCUCAUGUGUCCUGUUACGUCUGG